GAUGAAGAACGCAGCGAAAUGCGAUAAGUAAUGUGAAUUGCAGAAUUCAGUGAAUCAUCGAGUCUUUGAACGCACAUUGCGCCCCCUGGUAUUCCGGGGGGCAUGCCUGUCCGAGCGUCAUUGCCGCCCUCAAGCACGGCUUGUGUGUUGGGCCCCCGCCCCCCGGCUUCGGGGGGCGGGCCCGAAAGGCAGCGGCGGCACCGCGUCCGGUCCUCGAGCGUAUGGGGCUUCGUCACCCGCUCUGUAGGCCCGGCCGGUGCCCGCCGGCGACCCCAAUCAAUCUUUCCAGGUUGACCUCGGAUCAGGUAGGGAUACCCGCUGAACUUAAGCAUAUCAAUAAGCGGAGGA
rnacentral:misc_RNA from 1 species